rnacentral:rRNA from 1 species
UACGUAGGUGGCAAGCGUUGUCCGGAUUUACUGGGCGUAAAGGAUGCGUAGGCGGAUAUAUAAGUCAGAUGUGAAAUACCCGGGCUCAACUUGGGUGCUGCAUUUGAAACUGUAUAUCUAGAGUGCGGGAGAGGUAAGUGGAAUUCCUAGUGUAGCGGUGAAAUGCGUAGAGAUUAGGAAGAACACCAGUGGCGAAGGCGACUUACUGGACCGUAACUGACGCUGAGGUAUGAAAGCGUGGGGAGCAAACAGG